rnacentral:misc_RNA from 1 species
GAAAUGCGAUAAGUAAUGUGAAUUGCAGAAUUCUGUGAAUCAUCGAAUCUUUGAACGCACAUUGCGCCCGCCAGUAUUCUGGCGGGCAUGCCUGUUCGAGCGUCAUUUCAACCAUCAAGCCCCCGGCUUGUGUUGGGGACCUGCGGCUGCCCGCAGGCCCUGAAAAACAGUGGCGGGCUCGCUGUCACACCGAGCGUAGUAGCAUACAUUCUCGCUCAGGGCGUGCUGCGGGUUCCGGCCGUUAAACGACCUUCAUAACCCAAGGUUGACCUCGGAUCAGGUAGGAAGACCCGCUGAACUUAAGC